rfam:Schistosoma haematobium scaffold605_8, whole genome shotgun sequence.
GCACUGCUGAGGAGUCCCACACUAGGACGGAACGAUCGUUCAGUGC